CCGAAGAACGCCAGAAAACGCAUCAAAGUUGACCAAGAACGAAGAACCUAGAAGAAGGAAGAACGCCCGAAGGUUGCCGGCAGAUUAUCAGAAGGCAGCCAGACACACUGCCCACAGCGCACAAGCCAGCGGAGAAACACACAGGAGGAUCGGAGCACAGUCUAAAACAAAGAAACAAACAAACGACAACAAGCCAAGAACGCCAGAAAGAUGCCGGAAGAACGCACAAAAGUUGCCCGAAGAACGCCAGAAAAGGCAUCAAAGUUGACCAAGAACGAAGAACCUAGAAGAAGGAAGAACGCCCGAAGGUUGCCGGAAGAUUGCCUAGAAACGCCCGAAGAACGCCAGAAAACGCAUCAAAGUUGACCAAGAACGAAGAACCAAGAAGAAGGAAGAACGCCCGAAGGUUGCCGGAAGAUUGCCUAGAAACGCCCGAAGAACGCCAGAAAACGCAUCAAAGUUGACCAAGAACGAAGAACCAAGAAGAAGGAAGAACGCCCGA